rnacentral:rRNA from 1 species
AGAGUUUGAUCAUGGCUCAGAAUGAACGCUGGCGGCGUGCCUAACACAUGCAAGUCGCACGAGAACGUUUCAGCUUGCUGAAACUAGUAAAGUGGCGCACGGGUGAGUAACGCGUGGGUAAUCUACCUCCGAAUUGGGGAUAACAUUGCGAAAGCGACGCUAAUACCGGAUAAUAUCUCAAGAACCUCGGUCCUUGAGAUCAAAGGUGGCCUCUACAUGGAAGCUACCGUUUGGAGAUGAGCCCGCGUACCAUUAGCUUGUUGGUAGGGUAAUGGCCUACCAAGGCGACGAUGGUUAGCUGGUCUGAGAGGAUGAUCAGCCACACUGGAACUGAAACACGGUCCAGACUCCUACGGGAGGCAGCAGUGAGGAAUUUUGCGCAAUGGGGGAAACCCUGACGCAGCAACGCCGCGUGAGUGAUGAAGGCCUUCGGGUCGUAAAGCUCUGUCAAGUGGGAAGAACCUGCCCUGUGCUAAUAUCACCGGGCAUUGACGGUACCACUGAAGGAAGCACCGGCUAACUCCGUGCCAGCAGCCGCGGUAACACGGAGGGUGCAAGCGUUAUUCGGAAUCACUGGGCGUAAAGAGCGCGUAGGCGGUUUCUUAAGUCAGAUGUGAAAGCCCGGGGCUUAACCCCGGAAGUGCAUUUGAAACUAAGGGACUUGAGUAUGGGAGAGGGAAGUGGAAUUCCUGGUGUAGCGGUGAAAUGCGUAGAUAUCAGGAGGAACACCGGUGGCGAUGGC